CGCCGGGAGAGGACAAAAUUGCACAGCAUCCUGAGCGGGCCAGGCAGGGGGCUCUGCUGGCACCAUCUCUGUGCCACCUUCUAAACUCCAUGCCAACACUGCUGGGUCUUCAUUCAGCCCUUCUACACUGAUAGUGGCACAGCCAGCUAUCUGGUGAUCUGCCUGGGGCACCAGAGCUGCCCAAGGCGCACUGCCUACGACAGCCACUGUUUCCUCUGCUGGUAAUUUUUCCAGUUUAGUCACUGCGUGAUCUUGAGGUUCUGAAGAGGUCAAGGCACAUAGCUCCGUGAGCUGCUGACUGGCACACCACACGACUUCUGGAGCUGAAUUCAGGUCGCUAAGGCUACUCAUCAAUAGCUCUGAACCUUCUAACCAGGUGCUGGUGGAUGUAGUCAAUACGUUUCCCACUACUGGAGCACCCUCACUGGCUGAUGAACUCCCUGCUCCUUCCUCCACCCACUGCUGGAGCAGGGCUUCUUGCUCUUCUUGGACCAACUUUCCUCUGGUUGCAGCAAAGAUGCCUUCUAUCUGGGUGGACGUGCUCUUCGCCAGAAGCACAUUCUUUUGACAGGUAAAGAAAGCAUCGCGCCGCGGCCGUCCCGUCGCCGGGCCGUCUCGGGCACGGGCCUCGCUGCGCGCCGCGCCGGGCCGGCCCCGGCAGGUCGGGGCAGGCGUGUGGGAUGGCCCCGGCCGGGGUGGGGCCGGGACCGGGGCCGGGCUGCCGCGGGGCUGGGUGACGGCGCUGACGCCGGGCGGCCGGGUCGGUCCGCAAGCCGGGAGGAGUGCUUUGAAAUGAAAGUUUGCGCUCUGUGCUCCAGAAGCCUACAAAAGUUGUAAUCCCCUGGAAAAGCACCACAUAAAGUCCCUUCUGGUCCCAGGCGGUUCGUAAUUACAGUUCACUACAGGUCUUGCAAACCUGUAACCACAAUAGUCAACGCCUUGCAGGAAACAGGCUGUGCGGACAGACCUCAUGGGCAGCACGUUGAAGCACCAGCGCAGGAAAGCGUUCUCCUUUGGUUUGCUCACAGCAUGUCACAGCUCUACAAAACCACUCCAUCUGAUCAGCUGUGAGCACACUGUGAGCGCCUUGUGGCCGUAAGAAGCUGAGGCCUGUCAUGCUGCAACCAGACAGGCCUCAGCUCCCAGUUCCAAAGUCCUGCUUGAGCUACGUGUUUAAUAUUUUGUUUUAUUCUGCAUUUGGCUGUGCACAACACCCAAAGGCAAACAUGAAACUGAGCAUCACUGCAGCUCUUUACACCAAAUAUAUACUUCUAAUGUAUCACAGUAAUAUAAAGAAUUAUCAAAUCUAACUCAACUGAACUGCGAUGUCCAUUAAAAUUACCCUUGUCAUCUGGUAGGGGGCAUUUUGAUCCUAUAUCCAUAGUGAUUAUUGCCUCUCACUUGCUAGAGGCUGGUUUCUGCUUCAAGUUAAAAGCUUCUCAUAUUUUCAGAGUAAUGAUUUGUGCCACCCGAGGUGUUUCCCUUCCCGCUUGGGAAGGACACCCAGCACGCCUCUGGAGGGCGAUCUCCGUAACCCUCUUCCAAACUCCCUUAAAGACGGGCUCUUGCAAUUAGGUCAACAAGACUCAUGCUGUCCCUGCCUCUGCGCCAACCAGUGCUACCAGGCUGUCCCUCGGAUGGGUUAUCAUAUGGGUUAUCUAUGGUUAUCAUAGAAUCAUUAAGGUUGAAAAAGACCACUAAGAUAAUUUAGUCCAGCCAUCAGCACACCACCACCAGGCCCACUAAGCCAUAUCACUCAGCGCCACAUCUACACUGUUUUUGAA
rnacentral:lncRNA from 1 species